AUCUGGCUGCAACAUCUGUCACCUCACUGAUUGCCAGCGUUGAUUCAACUGAACUUGCUGCCUAAGUAGGUGGCCUU
rnacentral:sRNA from 1 species